rnacentral:lncRNA from 1 species
UACAAAGGACUCCUGUAGGUGCCUUACUUGUGCCUGCAGCAGCUCCAGGGGUAGUCACUUUGGCUCCCACUUCUUUUUUUUUUUUUUUUUUUUUUUUGAGUUUAAAUGCAUUUUAUUUUUAGACAACCUACAUGACAUGUUUUUUUUUUUCCUCAAAUCAAUGCCUCCGCUCCAAACAAAUCAACAUCAAAACGAAGAGCUCAAGAUGCCAUCAGUCCCAUUUGUCUAAGUCCUGGUGUCGUGUGGAUGAACAGCAGCAGCCAGCCAGUUAUGACGAGCAGGUGACAGAUCCAAACAGCCAAAUCUGUUAACAUUUUUCCAUUUCUAGACCAUCCUUAAAGAAAAUCAUAUACGGGGUCACACCAUCCUCGCGGUAGUCCAGCAGAGCAACCAUGCCAUCUGGAUUCAUGUUUUCACCAAUAAAGAAGACUUUAUGUAAUCUUUGAUGUACUUCUUGUAGGCUUCUUUUGUGAAGCUGGUUUCCUGCAAGUGAUGGUUCAUGACAAUAUCCACACCAGUGACUACUGUGCCUUUGGUACCUUCGCCCUCGGGGCCUUCAGCGGAGGCAUUUCCACCAAUGAGCGAGUCAUCAAUGUUACCCUCUGUCCUACUGACCAUGGCUGAUGAGGUCCCGGUAGAUGAUCAUGAUGGCGACUGGAGGGAGACAACGGUGGCACUAGCUUAGGAGCACGGAGCUCAGAGCGAGCGCGGUGCUGCCGGAGCGGCGCUCGGGGGGAGGGGGGAGUGGGCGGAAAAGGCCGACUCUGCCGCUCCCCAACCUCAUAUAGCGAGCACGUCGGCUCCCACUUCUGACACCAUGAAAUGUCCAACAAUAAUCAGUUUCAAG